UGGAUCUUCCACUCUGCACAAUAAACUAUCAUUUCAUUGAGAGGAGAUUGAGGAGAUUAUUGAGGAGAUAUUAUUGAUAUUGAGGAGUUUGAGAGAUGUUGUACCACUUUGUUAAACAGGCUUUCCUCCUACCCACACUAAGGGAUAAUAGAAUUUGAUCCUCUAAUUUGACAAACAUCCCAUUUUCUACAAAACUGUUCACGGUCACUUUUUAAGCAAUGCCCUCAUGGCAACACUGGUUUAAGUUCUCAGUUAUUUGCAAAGUUCUUAAGUUUUAAGUUCUUAAAACACUGGUUUAAACACUGGUUUAAGCUUCUCAGUUAUUUGCAAAUCCAAAAUAUCAUCACUGAUAGCUGUGCCAACAAUCUGAGUAGAUGAACUGAUAUGAACAUCAAGUUAAGAAAUGAAAACUCAGCUCCAUACUCUCUUCUCAUUAUCCCCUCUCUUGAUACAAACAUCCCCCAGAGAUUCUGUGGCUCCUUAUUUUCCUUAUCCUGAAAUAUCAUAUUUCCCUUAACCAAAAGUGCCUAUGGACCACACUCUUACAGAGGUCACCUCAAAAAGGGGGAGUUUUGUACCUAACAACCUACACGAAGAUAAGCGAGUCUCCUGCCUCUCCCCUUCCCCUACUUCCAGUGCCAAAUUUGUUUAGAUGUAAGACACAGACACAAAUAAGGAUGUUUGCUAAUCACUUUCAUUUUCAAAUCUACAUUCUUCUUGGCACUAUCAUCCAGGAGAACUGUAUGAAGUCUAGCACACCAUGCUAUCUCAUAAAUGAAAAAUAAUACAUGUCUUUUAUUUUAAUUAUACCCAUCCCAAGGGUUGUCAACUCAAGGUCUGCACCAGAAUCACCCAGAAGCAUUGCUGGAAAAAAAUACAAGCUGGGGAGCCCCUCCCAAGUCUUAACGAAUUGGAAUCUAUGGAUGUGGGCCCAGGCUCAUUUUCUUGUUUUAAAUUUUUUUUCUGCUCCAUUGAUUAUUUCAUGUGUGUCGGAGUGUGAUUGCCAGAGAGAUAAAUGGUUGACGGCUGUUAUU
ensembl:lncRNA